GGCCCGCACAAGCGGUGGAGUAUGUGGUUUAAUCCGACGCAACGCGCAGAACCUUACCCAGUCUUGACAUCCCUGGACCACUAUGGAGACAUAGCUUUUCAACCUAACGGAAGAAUCAGGUGACAGGUGCUGCAUGGCUGUCGUCAGCUCGUGUCGUGAGAUGUUCGUUAAGUCCGGUAACGAGCGCAACCCCUAUCCUUAGUUGCCAAUUAUGGAACUCUAAGGAGACUCCCGGUGUUAAACCGGCGGAAGAUGGGGAUGACGUCAAGUCCUCAUGGCCCUUAUCGGCUGGGGCUACACACGUACUACAAUGGCAACUACAAAGAGCCGCAAGACCGCGAGGUGGAGCU
rnacentral:rRNA from 1 species